rnacentral:rRNA from 1 species
UACAGAGGGUGCGAGCGUUGUUCGGAAUCACUGGGCGUAAAGGGCGCGUAGGCGGCGCGGGCAGUCAACGGUGAAAGCUUGGGGCUCAACCCCGAGUCGGCCGUCGAUACUCCCGGGCUGGAGCACUGUAGAGGCAGGUGGAAUUCCGGGUGUAGCGGUGGAAUGCGUAGAGAUCCGGAAGAACACCGGUGGCGAAGGCGGCCUGCUGGGCAGUAGCUGACGCUGAGGCGCGACAGCGUGGGGAGCAAACAGG